UCCAGAAGCAGCAUGGCGAUCGUGUAGGCCUCCUCGCCGGUGGCACAGCCGGGUAUCCAGACCCGGAUCGUGUCGUUCGGCUCCUUGCCCUGGAAC
rnacentral:tRNA from 1 species